rnacentral:lncRNA from 1 species
CUCAUUCCAAAUUUUGCCCUAGUUCAAGAUGCGCACACCUCCAACAAAACCUCACAAGCCUCCGCCUAAUCAGAACUCCAAAAUCUCGCCGGAAAUCAAAUCUUCAUCAUCUCGGUCGUUUUCAGUCAUUCAGAUCUAGGAUUUACGGAGAUGCCGCAAGGGAAAUGGUUGUGGUGUGGUUAAACCUUCAAGGCGAAGAUACCACAGCUCCAGAUUCUUAAAGUUUGCAAGAAGAUGAUACUUACAAGAGCUUUUAAACUUAAAUAGAUGUCCAACAUAUUGGGAAGAAAGACUUCAGAAUGAAAGAGUGAAAGAAUUCGACAGGCAAAAGAACACGGGGAAUCCUAGUCCCGGGCAUUUCUAGGGGCAGUGAUUGGAAAUCCGGUGGUAGCCGCCAGCUCGAGACACUACCAGACUUAAGUUCAAGGUUGAAGACCGUCUUGAUUCAAUCUUUUUACAGCAAUAACAGUUCCUGUGCCGGGUUUGGCUGCGUGACACAAGAACAAAGAGACAAUGCUUUCCUUGAAGCUCUUAGACACAACUAUGGGAAGUCUCCUAAUGAGAGGGCGGUGAUUGGAAAUCCGGUGGUAGCCGCCAGCUCGAGACACUACCAGACUUAAGUUCAAGGCUGAGUUGCCCGUAAAUUCAAAACUACAUAUCCUAGAGGGGCGGUGAUUGGAAAUCCGGUGGUAGCCGCCAGCUCGAGACACUACCAGACUUAAGUUCAAGGCUGAGUUGCCCAUAAAUUCAAGGCUACAUAUCCUAGAGUGUGUACCUUGUUGGAUUUGUGUGGACUGUGAUCAAUGCUCUUAAUCAUCAGGUAUUUGUACCUACAAAUUCCAAAUCGUAGUUAAUGGUAACAAAACACUACCACUACUAAAGAAAAGUAUAAUAAACAGUUAAAUCUUCACUUGUUGUCCAUUUGUUUCAUCAGGUUUGUUGCUAUUUCAUCACAAAUGUUGAGUACAUAAAAAUAAAAAUUUGAUUAGAGAAUGUUCAUUGCGGAUUCAUAUUGUUAGAAUGUACCUUGUCGGAUUCGAAUUGACUGUGGUCGAUGAUCUUAACACUGCCAGCAGGUAUUUUUCCAUCAGUUUUUUGUUCAAUCAUAACUGGUAACUACAGAAAGAAGAUACUAAUUAGAGAUGUAGGCUGUAAAACAACACAUAAUUGAUGUGAUAAUUUGUAUGCACCUUGUCAGUGGAUCGGAUGCUCUUGCUCCAUACGAUCAUAAAGGAAAUCUAAAAUGAACUUC